rnacentral:rRNA from 1 species
UAGGGAAUCUUCCACAAUGGGCGCAAGUCUGAUGGAGCAACGCCGCGUGAGUGAAGAAGGGUUUCGGCUCGUAAAACUCUGUUGUUAAAGAAGAACAUAUCUGAGAGUAACUGUUCAUACGUUGACGGUAUUUAACCAGAAAGUCACGGCUAACUACGUGCCUG